rnacentral:lncRNA from 1 species
UAACGAGAGACAAUACAGUCGAACCCCUUUAUAAGAGGCACUGAUGUAAGAGACAAAUGGGUAUAAGAGGCACUAGUGUGCCUAUAGUAAAAGACAGGCUG